AGAGUUUGAUCAUGGCUCAGAUUGAACGCUGGCGGCAGGCCUAACACAUGCAAGUCGAACGGUAACAGGAAGCAGCUUGCUGCUUCGCUGACGAGUGGCGGACGGGUGAGUAAUGUCUGGGAAGCUGCCUGAUGGAGGGGGAUAACUACUGGAAACGGUAGCUAAUACCGCAUAAUGUCGCAAGACCAAAGAGGGGGACCUUCGGGCCUCUUGCCAUCGGAUGUGCCCAGAUGGGAUUAGCUUGUUGGUGGGGUAACGGCUCACCAAGGCGACGAUCCCUAGCUGGUCUGAGAGGAUGACCAGCCACACUGGAACUGAGACACGGUCCAGACUCCUACGGGAGGCAGCAGUGGGGAAUAUUGCACAAUGGGCGCAAGCCUGAUGCAGCCAUGCCGCGUGUAUGAAGAAGGCCUUCGGGUUGUAAAGUACUUUCAGCGGGGAGGAAGGGAGUAAAGUUAAUACCUUCGCUCAUUGACGUUACCCGCAGAAGAAGCACCGGCUAACUCCGUGCCAGCAGCCGCGGUAAUACGGAGGGUGCAAGCGUUAAUCGGAAUUACUGGGCGUAAGGCGCACGCAGGCGGUUUGUUAAGUCAGAUGUGAAAUCCCCGGGCUCAACCUGGGAACUGCAUCUGAUACUGGCAAGCUUGAGUCUCGUAGAGGGGGGUAGAAUUCCAGGUGUAGCGGUGAAAUGCGUAGAGGUCUGGAGGAAUACCGGUGGCGAAGGCGGCCCCCUGGACGAAGACUGACGCUCAGGUGCGAAAGCGUGGGGAGCAAACAGGAUUAGAUACCCUGGUAGUCCACGCCGUAAACGGUGUCGACUUGGAGGUUGUGCCCUUGAGGCGUGGCUUCCGGGGCUAACGCGUUAAGUCGACCGCCCGGGGAGUACGGCCGCAAGGUUAAAACUCAAAUGAAUUGACGGGGGCCCGCACAAGCGGUGGAGCAUGUGGUUUAAUUCGAUGCAACGCGAAGAACCUUACCUGGUCUUGACAUCCACGGAAGUUUUCAGAGAUGAGAAUGUGCCUUCGGGAACCGUGAGACAGGUGCUGCAUGGCUGUCGUCAGCUCGUGUUGUGAAAUGUUGGGUUAAGUCCCGCAACGAGCGCAACCCUUAUCCUUUGUUGCCAGCGGUCCGGCCGGGAACUCAAAGGAGACUGCCAGUGAUAAACUGGAGGAAGGUGGGGAUGACGUCAAGUCAUCAUGGCCCUUACGACCAGGGCUACACACGUGCUACAAUGGCGCAUACAAAGAGAAGCGACCUCGCGAGAGCAAGCGGACCUCAUAAAGUGCGUCGUAGUCCGGAUUGGAGUCUGCAACUCGACUCCAUGAAGUCGGAAUCGCUAGUAAUCGUGGAUCAGAAUGCCACGGUGAAUACGUUCCCGGGCCUUGUACACACCGCCCGUCACACCAUGGGAGUGGGUUGCAAAAGAAGUAGGUAGCUUAACCUUCGGGAGGGCGCUUACCACUUUGUGAUUCAUGACUGGGGUGAGGUCGAAACAAGGUAACCGUAGGGGAACCUGCGGUUG
rnacentral:rRNA from 1 species